UACGGAGGGUGCAAGCGUUAUCCGGAUUUACUGGGUUUAAAGGGUGUGUAGGCGGGCCUUUAAGUCCGUGGUGAAAUACCAGUGCUUAACACUGGAACUGCCAUGGAUACUAUUGGUCUUGAAUGUUGAUGAGGUGGGCGGAAUGUAUCAUGUAGCGGUGAAAUGCUUAGAUAUGAUACAGAACACCGAUUGCGAAGGCAGCUCACUAAACAACGAUUGACGCUGAGGCACGAAAGCGUGGGGAUCAAACAGG
rnacentral:rRNA from 2 species